rnacentral:rRNA from 1 species
AUUGAACGCUGGCGGAAUGCUUUACACAUGCAAGUCGAACGGCAGCACGGAGAGCUUGCUCUCUGGUGGCGAGUGGCGAACGGGUGAGUAAUAUAUCGGAACGUGUCCAAUAAUGGGGGAUAACGAGUCGAAAGAUUCGCUAAUACCGCAUACGCCCUACGGGGGAAAGCAGGGGAUCGUAAGACCUUGCGUUAAUGGAGCGGCCGAUAUCUGAUUAGCUUGUUGGUGAGGUAAAGGCUCACCAAGGCGACGAUCAGUAGCUGGUUUGAGAGAACGAACAGCCACACUGGAACUGAGACACGGUCCAGACUCCUACGGGAGGCAGCAGUGGGGAAUUUUGGACAAUGGGGGCAACCCUGAUCCAGCCAUUCCGCGUGAGUGAAGAAGGCCUUCGGGUUGUAAAGCUCUUUCGCAAGGGAAGAAAACUUAUGAUCGAAUAAAUCAUGAGGUUGACGGUACCUUGAUAAGAAGCACCGGCUAACUACGUGCCAGCCGCCGCGGUAAUAC